UGACUUAGUACUGUAUAGGAAGAAAAAACCUAAUAACUGAGAUCAUCCAAGACAGAAAAUUUUGUUCGGCACUUGAGAAGGCGAAGGAAGAUGUAUGACUAAGAAAAUGAUUGGAAAAGCAUCAUGCUGCAGUUGUGUGGGACAUGUGUGUUAAGAACUGAAGCUUGACUUGUCUGUGAAAUGCAUCAAACCAAGCCAGAAAGCCAAAAGGAACCCGCUAAUGCACCUACAAUUUUACCAAUCACAACACUGGCAUUAAGGCUGAGCACUCUGCAAUCAGCAUCUCUGCUCCCUUAUCAUCCCCAAAGGAAAAAAACAAACAGCUCCACUUCAAGGUCUCCUUGGAUGUAAUUCCAUGCAUCGAGAGCUGUACAUGUUUGCUUGCCUCCAAGGAAAGAGCUGCUGGAGCUGUGGAGUGUGAC